AGCAGUCGCCGCGGGAAUACGUAGGUCCCGAGCGUUGUCCGGAUUUAUUGGGCGUAAAGCGAGCGCAGGCGGUUAGAUAAGUCUGAAGUUAAAGGCUGUGGCUUAACCAUAGUACGCUUUGGAAACUGUUUAACUUGAGUGCAAGAGGGGAGAGUGGAAUUCCAUGUGUAGCGGUGAAAUGCGUAGAUAUAUGGAGGAACAUCGGUGGCGAAAGCGGCUCUCUGGCUUGUAACUGACGCUGAGGCUCGAAAGCGUGGGGAGCAAACAGGAUUAGAUACCCCUGUAGUCCCUGUCUCUUAUACA
rnacentral:rRNA from 1 species